rnacentral:rRNA from 1 species
AAGCAGGGGAUCGCAAGACCUUGCGCUUUUGGAGUGGCAGAUGCCUGAUUAGCUAGUUGGUGGGGUAAGGGCCUACCAAGGCAACGAUCAGUAGUUGGUCUGAGAGGACGACCAGCCACACUGGGACUGAGACACGGCCCAGACUCCUACGGGAGGCAGCAGUGGGGAAUUUUGGACAAUGGGCGAAAGCCUGAUCCAGCUAUGCCGCGUGAGUGAAGAAGGCCUUCGGGUUGUAAAGCUCUUUCAGUCGAUAAGAAAAGGUCGCGACUAAUAAUUGUCACUCAUGACGGUAUCCAGACAACAAGCACCGGCUAACUACGUGCCAGCAGCCGCGGUAAUACGUAGGGUGCCAGCGUUAAUCGGAAUUACUGGGCGUAAAGGGUGCGCAGGCGGCUUUGUAAGUCAGAUGUGAAAUCCCCGGGCUUAACCUGGGAACUGCGUUUGAAACUACAUUUCUUA